AUUAAACAAUUGAGAUGGUAAAUAAUGUGUGCUAGAAGAGAAGAAGAAGAAGGAUAUAAAUGUAUUGAAUUAGUUAAAUUAAAGACUACAUUGAUAUUUUUUAAUCAGAACAGAAGUGGCGCUUACAAAUUUUGGUUCUAUGUAUUUUAUGAUAGCUCUAACAGUUGAAAUGCAUUAUUCUAUCACUUAUACAGUUAGUAUAGAAUUUAUAAAAUUAAAAUUAAAAUUUUCUAAACUAAUCAACUUUUAUUUUAUUUAGUAUUUCUUUUAUAGAAAAUAAGAAAAACGCAUCGAUUGGUCUAUAAUUAAAUAUACUUAAAUAUACUAUACUAUACUAUACAGUUCGAUUUAAAGAGAUAAAAAUGACCUUAAAUAUUUGAAAUAUCUUCACUUCCGGGUCAGCAACGUGUACCACGUGAUGCAUGAUUCAAAACCAUUUAAUCUUGUGAUAUCUUUAUCUGUUACUGUUUAAAAAGUAUGACUUCAUCCAGCAACAAGAAAUGCUAUAGCAUACGUGACAAUUUUUAUAACAAAUAUGACAUCAAUUAAAACAUAUUUAAUCCAGUAAGAACUAAGUAGGAAGAUAAUUCGUAGAAGUUGCAUAAGCAAUGUAGUAUUAUUGGAAAACGCAAAUAAAGUAAGUUCUUUUGUCAAGUUGUAGGAAAUGGAUGUAGGAAGAAAUAGUAAUUGAAAAAAAUAUUAUCUCAAUUCCUUGGGAUUCUUUUUUAAUAUAAUGUUAAAACACAAAAUUGGCUAAUAUAAAUUAACUGAAGAAUGUUGUAAAUAAAAUGUUGCGUCAAUGCAACGUUGUUCCUUAACGGAUUAAUGGAUACUAAAACACGGUAAUAAUAUAACAUGUUGAUAUUUUACGAUGUACAAGUAAUAUCGAUGAGGACGAGUUACUUCACACUAUGAGAUGUGAGACGUUCGCAGUGUAUGCAGCGGGCGAUAAUCUGAUAUCAUCUGAACGUGGUAUAGGUC